rnacentral:rRNA from 1 species
CCCUUAGAUGUUCUGGGCCGCACGCGCGCUACACUGAUGCAUUCAACGAGUCUAAAACCUGCUCUGAUAGGGGUGGGUAAUCUUUUGAAUGUGCAUCGUGAUUGGGAUAGAUGAUUGCAAUUUUUCGUCCUCAACGAGGAAUGCCUAGUAAACGCAAGUCAUCAGCUUGCAUUGAUUACGUCCCUGCCCUUUGUACACACCGCCCGUCGCUCCUACCGAUUGAAUGAUCCGAUGAAUAUCAUGGAUUGAGGAUGCAAGCAGGUUCGCCUGUCUUCAUCUUCGAGAAGUGAAGUAAAUCUUAUCAUUUAGAGGAAGGAGAAGUCGUAACA